GCUGUUCUCUUGCAUUAACUCUUCUUAAUAAAAUCAACCAUUAUAAAGAGAAGCAAAGUUUCUUGCAUUAGCUUCAGCUAAUUCUUGUAGCCGAGAUAUUUUCAAGCUGCACUCUUAGCAAUGUAUGCUACUCUUGCUAGCCGAGAUGUGGACUGUUGUUUGAUUCCUGAGUCACUCCUUUUAUCUUGAAGGACCUGGUGGCCUAUUUGAAUUCAUUGAGAAAAGACGGAAAGAAAUGGUUAUAGUAAUGCAGGACAAGGGCUUCUUUCUGAAAGCAUGGGCACCAACAACCAGUAGGAUGCUUCUGAAAAUAAGUUACUCCAAGAUGUGGGUGUAGGGAUAUCUAAAAACAUUAAGGAUCACUUCACGAAAUGGAAGAAGAUGGCUAUAAAUCUUAAAUAUAUAGAUCCCACAUAAAUGAUCAGUACCACACCCUCCUUGCACACAGUGCCAUUCAUGGUGCAAUGGCAGGGUAUAUAGGCUUGACAGUUGGCCCUGUUAAUGAACACAUGCUUACAUACCAUUCCAUCAGGUGAUUGAGACACAGACAAGGUUGUGUUAACUGAGAGGAUGUGGGCAAAGGCUAAUACUAUCUUCAACAAAUCAGCCAAUCUGAUAAGACUGCAUACCAAAUCAAGACAAGAGAGGAAGAACUACAGAUCUUGUUACCAUUAGUAAAUGGGAACAACCAUUUAGAAGCCACGAUGGAUAAGCAGAGUGACUAGCAGCACAAUCCAAUUUGAGCAGCUGCUGAUUUGAAGUUGUCUUUGUCAUUGAUUGAUGGUAUCCCUUUUCUCUUUAUUUUUGCUGCAUGGAAAGUGUUACCGAUUGAACCCUAUACCCAGUUGUGAUUCAUGUGGUUUUAGCGUGAAAUUUCCAUAUACCACAGAUGAGGCUAA